rnacentral:rRNA from 1 species
CACGUAGGAGGCGAACGUUAUCCGGAUUUACUGGGCGUAAAGCGCGUGUAGGUGGUUCGGUAAGUAGGGCGUGAAAGCUCCCGGCUCAACUGGGAGAGGCCGUUCUAAACUGCCGGGCUAGAGGAUGGUAGAGGGAGGUGGAAUUCCGAGUGUAGCGGUGGAAUGCGCAGAUAUUCGGAGGAACACCAGUGGCGAAGGCGGCCUCCUGGACCAUUCCUGACACUCAGACGCGAAAGCUAGGGUAGCAAACGGG